rnacentral:rRNA from 1 species
CGUGCGCAGGCGGUUGUGCAAGACAGAUGUGAAAUCCCCGGGCUCAACCUGGGAAUUGCAUUUGUGACUGCACGGCUAGAGUGUGUCAGAGGGGGGUAGAAUUCCACGUGUAGCAGUGAAAUGCGUAGAUAUGUGGAGGAAUACCGAUGGCGAAGGCAGCCCCCUGGGAUAACACUGACGCUCAUGCACGAAAGCGUGGGGAGCAAACAGGAUUAGAUACCCUGGUAGUCCACGCCCUAAACGAUGUCUACUAGUUGUCGGGUCUUAAUUGACUUGGUAACGCAGCUAACGCGUGAAGUAGACCGCCUGGGGAGUACGGUCGCAAGAUUAAAACUCAAA